rnacentral:rRNA from 1 species
AGUUAAACGGCCGCGGUAUUUUGACCGUGCAAAGGUAGCGCAAUCACUUGUCUUUUAAAUGAAGACCUGUAUGAAUGGUGGAACGAGGGCUUAACUGUCUCCCCCUUCUAGUCAAUGAAAUUGAUCUACCCGUGCAGAAGCGGGUAUAAUAAUACAAGACGAGAAGACCCUUUGGAGCUUAAGACAAAAGACCAACUAUGUCAAAAGUCCUAAAAAGACUAAACCAAAUAGCUCUGGUCCUAAUCUUCGGUUGGGGUGACCACGGGAGAAAACAAAGCUCCCAUGCGGACUGGGAUAUUUCCUAAAACUAAGAGAGACAUCUCUAAGACACAGAACAUCUGACCAUAAAGAUCCGGCUACAUGCCGACCAACGGACCAAGUUACCCUAGGGAUAACAGCGCAAUCCCCUUCCAGAGUCCAUAUCGACAAGGGGGUUUACGACCUCGAUGUUGGAUCAGGACAUCCUAAUGGUGCAGCCGCUAUUAAGGGUUCGUUUGUUCAACGAUUAAAGUCCUACGUGAUCUGAGU